AUAAGGUGUUCACUGUUCAGAUAUGAAUAUUUUUUCUUUGCUCUUUUCAGGUUCUUUAGAUUUCUUUAAAAAUCCAAUUUUGUUUUCUAAUAAGCAAAAAGUAAAAUCACUUUACUCAUGUUUACAUGUUAAAUUGCACUUGUCUCUCUCUAUCUCUGUUAACACAUUUAUAUUUGUUUGAUUAAUUCUUGUGUCUUUCAGCCUGUUUCUGCCUAUCACCAUGAGUGAUUCCUCAAUACUCAGAUUUAUCAUCAAGAUCUCAAUUAUAAGCUCAAGUUUUGAUGACAACUUGGUGAUCUGCAGAAAGCACCACCAUGUAAGGAAGGCCAAGACCACUCUGGAAUCAGUCAAGGGUGAAAUGGAGUGAGGCAUACCAGGAUAUGCCUGGUUUUACUUUUGGGAAGGAGGUUGAACAGUGCAAUAUUUCUUCUAUAGGAUUGCAGUGACCAGACAUGCUACUGUAACUCUCAUGGUCAUGUGCUGGAAUUAGCAGAUAUUCAACAAUUUGGCCAUCUCGCUGACCUGUUGAUAUCAGAAGACCGCAGCAGCUCUGCAAAGCAAGUUGCAAAACAGAAUCCAUGAAACUGGCAGUGACUGGAAACCAAUUGGAAGACUUUGGUCUGUGAUGUAGAGGAGUGGGCAGAGGCAGAAGCAAAGACAACAAAAAGAAGAAGUGAUAUGGAUGUCUUCGUCAUAUGGCAUGACUCUGCUGACCCAGCAACAAAGAGGAGG
ensembl:processed_transcript